CUCACCUGCCGAAUCAACUAGCCCUGAAAAUGGAUGGCGCUUGAGCGAGGGACCUAUACCCAGCCGUUGCUGGCUUGUGCGUUGUCUAGCGCCUGGCCGCAACGAGUAGGAGGGUCGUGGCGGUUGCGUCGAAGGCUUUGGGCGUAGGCCCAGCUGGAGCUUCCGUCAGUGCAGAUCUCGGUGGUAGUAGCAAAUAUUUAAGUUCGAUCCUUGAAGACUGAAGUGGAGAAGGGUUCCACGUGAACAGUAGUUGAAUGUGGGUCAGUCGAUCCUAAGAUACUGGCUUAUGCCUUGUAUCAUUGAGAGGGAAAAGUUUCUUUUCUCUCGGAUAUCAAAAGGGAAUAGGGUUAAUAUUCCCUAACGCAGACACAGAGAUUGCGGCUCUUUGAGUCGCYUGCGCGGUAACGCAUUCGAACUUGGUUACGUCGCUCAGAGACCGAGCUAGAGUUCUCUUCUCUAGUUAAGGAACGGACUCCCUGGAAUCGGUUCAGCCGUAGAUAGGGACGUUGUUUCCGUAAAGCAUCGCGGUUUCUGUGAUGUCUCGUGUUCUCUGGACGGCCCUUGAAAAACCAAGGAAGGCUAUUAAUCUGUGCUGCAUCGUACCGAUAUCCGCAUCAGGUCUCC
rnacentral:rRNA from 1 species